AGCAGGAACUAUGAAACAAUGUGAAACUACUCUACAGGCAACAGUGUGAAAAUUUCCUCCAUGCACUAUAUAAACAUUCACAUGCCGAUUUACCAACAAAUUUCGCAAUGCUCAGUUGAAACGAAUAUUGAUGAUGAUGACAAUGAUGGGGAUGAUGAUAACACUCUUGAUGAUGAUGAUGAUGACAACGUCGAAGAUGAUUCUGACGUCGACGACGGCGAUGAUGAUGAUGAUGAUGAUGAUGAUGAUGAUGAUGAUGAUGACAACCACCAUGGGGUCAACGGUGACGAUGGAGACGUAACACCGAAGACUAAGACAAAUUCAAAUACUUAAACAUGGGGAAUAAAAUAAACGUCAUAAAAUUUGGGGAAAAUAUGGAAAUUUAUUGACAAUUAAAUUAAUAUUUUUUAAUUAAUAAAGGAAAAUGUUUGGAAUAAA